rnacentral:rRNA from 1 species
AACGAACGCUGGCGGCAUGCCUAACACAUGCAAGUCGAACGAGACCUUCGGGUCUAGUGGCGCACGGGUGCGUAACGCGUGGGAACCUGCCCUUAGGUUCGGAAUAACUCCCCGAAAGGGGUGCUAAUACCGGAUAAUGUCUUCGGACCAAAGAUUUAUCGCCUUUGGAUGGGCCCGCGUUGGAUUAGCUAGUUGGUAGGGUAAAAGCCUACCAAGGCGACGAUCCAUAGCUGGUCUGAGAGGAUGAUCAGCCACACUGGGACUGAGACACGGCCCAGACUCCUACGGGAGGCAGCAGUGGGGAAUAUUGGACAAUGGGCGAAAGCCUGAUUCAGCAAGGCCGCGUGAGUGAUGAAGGCCUUAGGGUUGUAAAGCUCUUUUACCCGGGAUGAUAAUGACAGUACCGGGAGAAUAAGCUCCGGCUAACUCCGU